rnacentral:lncRNA from 1 species
CCCGCUGUGACGCAGGCCGCGUGCCCGGGCACUUCCUCCCCUGCAGAGAGCACCCGGCGCCGGGACCAGCCGGCGAGGGCUGCCGCCCGCCGCUGGGGACUUUCUUAAGGCCGUGAAAAAAAAUCCUCCCACUGCUUCCCGGCUGGGCCACUGCGGCCUCUGAUCCGCCCACCCGGCGUCUCCGCAGUGGGGAAUCGACCGGGUCUCGUACCUUCCCUACCGUCCCUAACUAUGCGCGGAAAACCCGAGGCGUCUCUGCGCGCAGCGUUUGAUCCGCUAUCGCAGCCUUCUCGCGGGCUGAAAAAGCAAACUGCCUUCUUGAAAGCUGACAGCUAUCUAUACGGAAAAUCUUCUGCCCGGUGGAAAAAAAAAACAACAAACGCACAGACAAGGUUACUAAGUAACAUAAAGUCUUCUGGGAUGCCUUAUCAAUACCAUCUAUUCUACGAGCACCAAAAACUAAACUGUUGCUCUAACUUGGCAGUCAGGAAAUGACCGAUGUUCGUGAAUAGAGCAAUUAAUGGACAGCUAAUCGUCUUUCGCUAGUUGGUUUGUUCUUCUACAACAAACCUUAAGAAAGCAGGCACCUCCUAUUACCCCAUUUCUAUUUUCAAGCUAAAUUGAAAAUUUGUCCAAAAGUUAUGCUCUUCGGCUUUUAACUGCUUUCCCCCUAUUUUCCCCGCUAGUGGCAAAUUCCUUACACUUUUCCAAUUCCAGUACUGUUGUUGGAUUUCCUUCCCAGAAGACAAUCUUGAACCCUCUUAGGCCUUGGGGGAUGAUUAUAACACCAGCCUUAACCUAGAUCAAGACUGUAAUCUAGGGUGGGGACUUCCUCCUAGAUAGAAGGUGGAAAAAUUUGUAGAGUGUUCGUAGGGAAAAGGCAGAAGCUGACUUUAAGAAUUUGCUAAAAGAAUUUGAGUACCUUGCAAGCCAGCAGGUACUAUCUAAGGUAGCCUCAUCUCUUAAAUAUAUUUAAACCCUCAAUGAGACAAGUACUAAGGGCACAUACCUCCUGUGGCGGGCCUUAUUCUGCAAAUGCUUUCUGAGUGCACCUCUAUCCUUCUUGUACCGCUGGCACCUGACCUCAAGCUUAGGCAACCCUGUAAUGCUCCCUCACUACCCACUGUCAAGGAACCAUUCAAGCCUAGACUUUGGACUCAGGUGAACCAGAAAUAAAUCCCUACUCUUCCUGUGUAAAUGUAAGGAAGUAACUGCUACUCUUUUUCUUCCAUCAUCAGUGAUAUAACUAUAGUAUUAUAGGGUACUAUGAGAAUUAGAUAACAUGCUUCAAGCAGCAAGAACAAUGCCAAGAACUUUAUAAGUAGUUAAUAAAGGUAGUUGUCAUGUACGCUCAUGAGUCCUCAUAGCCCUGAAAUCAAAAGGACUUUGAACAGCAACAAUGUUUGGAAACGGGAUAAAAGCCCCACAAGUUAAGUCUCCUCACUCUCCCCCUCCACUGGCUUAAUUGCAGUGCUUUUGUCUACUCUGCUUUCUAAUAGGGUGAACUGGACAGUUCUACAUGCAGUCAAUUGAUUCAUAUACACACUACAGUCUGAGAGGCACGAAGUCUGAAAACCAAUGUGUUAUACUGCUUAGUUCACCUCUUUACUUUUUAUCUUUUAAUUUCAUAGCAUGUAAACCUUAAGUCUAGUCACCUCACCUCAGUAAACCUAACUCAAAUCAACUACUAUAGUUAUCAGUAAAACACCAGGAGAAUCACCAAUUAGCCUACUUCUGUGAAUGCUGGACCUUGAGUGUCUCAAAGAAGUAUAAGGCUUAUUCCCUGACUUCAAGGUAUUCACAGAGCAUGGGAGAGAGCAUGGGUCACAAUAAACCAUUUCAAACUAAAUGUGGUUGAAGUUCAGAGAAAGGAGAGGGCACUGUGGGUUAGGUGAACUGUGUAUACAGAGCCACCACCUUGAACUUUCACUUAAUAGCCAAUUCUUUAGGCCAAAGUUUGACAUUCUAGAUGGGCUUCCAGAGUGAGUUCGCACACUUAGACUCCACAGUGUUACAAGUUAACCAUGUACUAGCGGACAAUAGGGAGCAGAACUAGAUCUUUCCGAGCAAUGCAGGGCCCUGGUAAGUGAUUUGGAAUGAUACAGAUCUGGGCUCAAAUCUGGGGUCGAAUACUCAGUAGCUAUGUGACUGAGCUUCUUAAUCUUUGAACCACCUGUCUAUUGGAACAUCAGUACCUACUUUUUAAGGUUCUAGUGAGAUUUAGAAAAAAGUGCAACUUCUCUAGUGGGUCGUAUGGCAAUAGUAUUUAUAGUACGUUGGUUUGUUGUUAGCUAAAAGAAAAUGCAAGCUGGGCUAUAUCAUUCCUUGAAGGCAUAUUUCAAAAGUUGCCUUCUCUGUGAAAUUUCUGCAGGCUCCUGACAGUUCUCCCUUCCUCGUGCUCCCACAGCACUUACUAUUUAUACUUACUUUGGUGUGCUGCUAUUCAUCCAUAUCUAUCUAUCUAUCUAUCUAUCUAUCUAUCUAU